AGGUGCGAUCAUACUAGCUUAAAUGCACCGGAUCCCAUCAGAACUCCGCAGUUAAGCGUGCUUGGGCUAGAGUAGUACUGGGAUGGGUGACCUCCCAGGAAGUCCUAGUGUUGCACACU
rnacentral:rRNA from 1 species